CAACCCUCAGCGCCCGUCCGCGGGAGCUGGUGUUGGGGAUCGGCCGUCCUUGCGGCGGCCGGCCCCGAAAUCUAGUGGCGGUCUCCUCGCGACCUCCUCUGCGUAGUAACACUACCUCGCAGCUGGAUAGCGGUCUGACCACGCCGUAAAACCCCAACUUCUCAA
rnacentral:misc_RNA from 1 species